GAUGAACGCUGGCGGCGUGCCUAAUACAUGCAAGUCGAGCGAACAGACGAGGAGCUUGCUCCUCUGACGUUAGCGGCGGACGGGUGAGUAACACGUGGAUAACCUACCUAUAAGACUGGGAUAACUUCGGGAAACCGGAGCUAAUACCGGAUAAUAUUUUGAACCGCAUGGUUCAAUAGUGAAAGAUGGUUUUGCUAUCACUUAUAGAUGGAUCCGCGCCGCAUUAGCUAGUUGGUAAGGUAACGGCUUACCAAGGCAACGAUACGUAGCCGACCUGAGAGGGUGAUCGGCCACACUGGAACUGAGACACGGUCCAGACUCCUACGGGAGGCAGCAGUAGGGAAUCUUCCGCAAUGGGCGAAAGCCUGACGGAGCAACGCCGCGUGAGUGAUGAAGGUCUUCGGAUCGUAAAACUCUGUUAUUAGGGAAGAACAAAUGUGUAAGUAACUAUGCACGUCUUGACGGUACCUAAUCAGAAAGCCACGGCUAACUACGUG
rnacentral:rRNA from 1 species